UACGUAGGGGGCAAGCGUUGUCCGGAUUUAUUGGGCGUAAAGAGCGUGUAGGCGGCUUUACAGGUCCGUUGUGAAAACUCGAGGCUCAACCUCGAGACGCCGGUGGAAACCGUAAAGCUAGAGUCCGGAAGAGGAGAGUGGAAUUCCUGGUGUAGCGGUGGAAUGCGCAGAUAUCAGGAGGAACACCGGUGGCGAAGGCGGGUCUCUGGGCCGAAACUGACGCUGAGGAGCGAAAGCGUGGGGAGCGAACAGG
rnacentral:rRNA from 1 species